UCAGUGUGGAUACGGAAUGGUUGGUGACUCUGGAUGAGAUUGGAGGAGAUGGGGAUGAGAGAGGAGAGGAGGGUGCGAGGGAUCAGGAGAGCGGAAUAAAUGAGGCAGACCUUCAAGAAUUGGUCACUCUGGAUGAGAUCGUUGGCGAGGAAGGAGGGGAGGGUCCUAGCCCGGAGCCUCACCCAUUCAGGCAGGAGGACGAAUCAGAAGACUCCUUCAACACAGAGGUCAGGAAACAUCUACUGCUUUCUUUUUGUCUGCUUGUAUCUUGAUUUCUCUCGCACACUCACUCUCUCACGCAUUUGUAUUUAUUAUGGAUCCCAAUUAGCUGCUGCCUUCCUGCGGUCCAGCAAGUUGUAAAAUUUUAAAAACAUUACAAUAGCUUCAUUACAGAAUUCACAACACAGUGUGUGACCUCAGGCCCGUACUCCACUACCACAUAUCUACAACACAUAAUCCAUGUUAUCGUGUGUGUAUGUAUGUCUGUGUUGCUUCACAGUCUCCCCUGUUCCACAAGGUGUGUAUUUAUGUUUAUUUUUUAAAGUCUGAUUCUACUGCUGCAUCAGUUACCUGAUGUGGAAUAGAGUUCCAUGUAGUCAUGGCUCUAUGUAAUACUGUGGAAUAGAGUUCCAUGUAGUCAUGGCUCUAUGUAGUACUGUGGAAUAGAGUUCCAUGUAGUCAUGGCUCUGUGUAGUACUGUGGAAUAGANNNNNNNNNNACUAACCAGUCUUCUAGGAGUGAUUUCAUGUUUCUGUUUGUCCCACAGGGCCACCGUAGUAGAACUAGCCAGUCUUCUAGGAGUGAUUUCAUGUUUCCGUUUUUCCCACAGGGCCACCGUAGUAGAACUAGCCAGUCUUCUAGGAGUGAGUCUAGAGAUCAGGAGGCAGCAGAGAGAAAGGGUGUUGGCUACGUGGUGGAUGAGUUCACGUCCGACGUCAAUCCUGGUGACGCCAACCCAUUCGAUCUGGACCAGUUCAACAUGGAUGAGUUCGUCACCGUGGACGAGGUGGAAGGGGAUGAGGCGGACAACGCCAACCCACCAGAAUCAUCAUCUUCGUCACCCAACCCACCAGAGCCAUCAUCUUCAUCACCCAAUACCCAAGAUGGCACCUAUGGAAGGUCGGAACGAUCAUCCAAACGCAAGCGGGGUACCCCUGAUACCCCAAUUUCUACUAUGAAGUCAAGCCAGGAGAAAGAGAGACCCCUGUCCAAAAGCACUCCCACCCCAUCCUCUUCUACCUCUACCCUCCCUGGACAGAAGACUCCACGACAAGCCGCAACAGCCAAAAAAACGCAGGCGGCAAAACCUCAACCCCCCGCCACCUCCGGACGCAAGACCAGGUCGUCAGCCGCAGCUGCUGUUGUUGCAACGGGAGCCGCAGAAACCCGAGAAACUGUCACUGACGAUGACCCCACAGUCAGGAUGGAAGCGGAGCCUCUUCCCGUGGAGCGUCUGUCUCAGCCAAUGGGGGAAGCAGCCGCUGCUCAGUUGGUAGAGGAAGUAGUGGUCACAACGGGAAGUGACAUGGAGGGUAUGUUACCGUCAUCCGACCACAAGGUGUCAGUGUUGGGCACGGCAUUGCCGGCGAACAAGGAGGCAGAAAGUGUUGGGUCAGAGAUUGAUAUGGAGACUACAGCUGAAAAACCUCCAGAGGUAGACGGGAGCGAGGAGAAGGCCCAGGCUAAAAAAGGUGACUCGAUUCUGGGUAGCAAGGCUCAGAAUGAAGGCUGCACACUGGAGCUUGGCUUGACUGAUCCGUCUUCCACAGCCAAGGAGCAAGACCUUCAAACAACCCUAGAACUACAAGGGCUUGAGACGGUGUCGGGUCACCAAGUGCCCCGGGGUUUACAGAUACUCAACAAAACCGUGGAUGACACCGUGGUGCCUGCAGCCUCUGUAUCUACGGGUUCCCAGGAGCUCCAAACUACUCUAGACGAAGAAGAAUCUGCUUUCCACAUCCUGGACUCUGUAGAUGACACUGACGGCCGAAGAGAUUCUCUACCCAGAGAGAUGGAAGGGUUCCACAUCCUGGACUCUGUAGAUGAUCCGGUGGCUGUGACAGAAGCUCUGGAAAACCAUUCUACUGAAUCUAAGGGUACCUCAAAGCCCCAGAAAGCGAAGGGUACCUCAAAGCCCCAGAAAGCGAAGGGUACCUCAAAACCCCAGAAAGCGAAGGGUACCUCAAAACCCCAGAAAGCGAAGGGUACCUCAAAACCCCAGAAAGCGAGUUACAAAAAGGGUAAUAUUCAAAAGAAGGAUGGCAAGAAGACCCCCCCAGUGGAGUCGGAGAGGGGUGAGGGAGGUACCCACAAAAAGACCCCUGAGAAGACACAGACCCCCCCAGUGGAGUCGGAGAGGGGUGAGGGAGGUACCCACAAAAAGACC
rnacentral:lncRNA from 13 species